rnacentral:RNase_P_RNA from 1 species
GUGACCCCAGGACAAGUGCAACAGAGAUAUACCGCUAACCGGUCAUCAGCGAUGACCGGCAGCAAGGAUGAAAAGGUGGGGUAAGAGCCCACCCGGCCCAUGGAGACAUGGGUUUUACGAUGUAAACUCUAUCCGGAGCAACACCGUGGAGGGACACAGAUGCUGACCCGGCAGUCCCGAGGAGGUGGCUUGAUCCCGUGAGCAAUUGCGGGACUAGAUAGAUGGCUGUCUAGACAGAACCCGGCUUACAGACCAGUGUCGCAA